rnacentral:rRNA from 1 species
GACGAACGCUGGCGGCGUGCUUAACACAUGCAAGUCGAACGGAAAGGCCCUGCUUGCAGGGUACUCGAGUGGCGAACGGGUGAGUAACACGUGGGUGAUCUGCCCUGCACUUCGGGAUAAGCCUGGGAAACUGGGUCUAAUACCGGAUAGGAGCCAUUUUUAGUGUGAUGGUUGGAAAGUUUUUUCGGUGUAGGAUGAGCUCGCGGCCUAUCAGCUUGUUGGUGGGGUAAUGGCCUACCAAGGCGGCGACGGGUAGCCGGCCUGAGAGGGUGGACGGCCACAGUGGGACUGAGAUACGGCCCAGACUCCUACGGGAGGCAGCAGUGGGGAAUAUUGCACAAUGGGCGCAAGCCUGAUGCAGCGACGCCGCGGGGGGGAGGACGGCCUUCGGGUUGUAAACGCCUUUCGCUAGGGACGAAGCUUUUUGUGACGGUACCUAGAGAAAAAGCACCGGCUAACUACGUG